CGGGAGAUGUACAUGGCAGUGUUCGCCCCAUGGGAAAUUAAUGCUAUAAACUUCUAGACACACCUUACCCCUGAUCACUCGGAUUUGAAACAUUGUCCCCUACUGGCAUUUAUAUGUCCCGCUCUCGUACCGGAGCCCCUCUGCCCCCCCCUCCUCACUUUUUUUCCCCCUCUUCCUUCUCUUCCUUCUUCUAAUUUUCAUAUGUGUAUACGCU